UCUUCCUUUCAUAGAAAAAAAUACAAACUCAUCAGAUUCCAAAUUCGAUGUCCAUAAUUUCGCUAACCGAUAUAAAAAAAACAUUGAUCUGGGUUCUAAUAUUUUAUCGAUCUCUACUGCGAAGAAGAUUGGGAUUCUAGAAAUGGAAGAGGGAUUUCAAUCGGCAGGUCAAGGUAUACCGCGGAUCAUUGAUAAUGGAUGGUUGCCGCGACUCCAAUUUAUCAUUUCAUCUCGAUGAUCUGCUCCCACAAAGAUAAUAAAUCUGUUUGUUAUUUCAAACAUAUCAUAUUUCCUUUUUUAUAAAAUUAUAAAUUAACGUGUACUUCUACUAUGUAGGUCACAUACUCAAUAAACUGCUGAUAUGUUGUCUACACACAUGAAGCUCUUUUCACAUAAGCAAUGGAAAAAGGUCAGUAUUGUUUAUUAUUCAAAACUCGUCAAAAUAAUUGAAUAGCAAUGUGAAUUAUAAAAUAAUUGUCUGCAAAACAUAUAGUUCUUUAAAUCACAAUACUAUAAACUAUAGUUUUUGAGAAAAAGUAGUAAAGAUUGUCUGUGAUUUAUUUGUUGAAUUUUGAAAAACCAUAAUAUAGUCUUGAGUUGGUUGAUCUUCACACUCUUGCCUUUGACAUUCGUCCUUUUACCUUAAGCUUCACUUAUCUGGGUUAAAAAAAAUACACCAUGUAAUAGUAAGAAUAACUUUACAAAAUUUUAAGUACAAUUAACAUAUUUAACUUCAAACGUACCUUAAAGCAAAGAGGUCUAGUAGAAUCUGAUUAGUUUCCCAGAUUUUGAAAAACCUCUUUAAAAACAACGUUAGUUGUUUUACUGUCAAUCUGUCCAUCUUUCCCGACAAUAAGAAUUUUUAAUCUCUUUUUCGAAGUGACUCUCGAUAGAGCAACAUAAAGUUGGCCGUGAGAGAACACCGGUCUUGGCAAAUAGAGUCCUACUUUCUCAAGAGAUUGUCCCUGACUCUUGUUAAUCGUCAUAGGAAAUGCCACAGAUAAAGGAAACUGCCUUCUCCGCAUUUUAAAUGGUAGUUUUGUGUCAGAUGGUGUAAGCAAUGUCUUAGGAAUCAAAACCUUAUCACCUAUUCUGUCUCCUGUAAUAACCCUUGCCUCUACCACAUGGUUAGCCAGUUGUGUGAUCUGGAGCCUAGUACCAUUACAUAAUCCACCUUUAAGAUCAAUAUUUCUUAGCAACAUUAUAGGACAACCAACCUUCAGACGUAGAGCAUGAUUUGGCAACCCAGACAAUUCGAAUAUUUUAUAUAGAGUCUUAUAAAGGAACUAACAAUAAUCUAGAACUUGCCUCAUUAUUUUGAUAUGAUUUUGGAAAUCGAUUGGGUCAUAAUUGGUAAGGUUUACCCCUUCGUUUGCGUAAUACAUAUAGCAAUCGUAUAUCAUGCAUUCAAUCUGAUAACUAAUGGGGCAAGUGAAUUAAUUCAUUUAGAUGUAAUAGGUUGUUAGGCUUAUAAUGUAAAGGGGAAUAGGUUCAAACAAAACUGAAAGUUGAAAGAUGGGUAUGUGUAACAAAAGCCCAUCGAAUAAGUAGAACAUAUAACAUUAAAUGACAUUUAUUGUGAGAAUUUUCUAUAUUAGUAUUUUUGAGCAAAAGUUGCUACAAAAAUACUAAUAUAGAUAUGGAAUACAUGAAUUUUGGCAAAAUUAUUUAUUUGGUUGAUUCCAACAGCAAGGUCUAAUAUUGAAAUGGAAUAAUAACUUACUUUAAAACAUCUGUAUAUAUAAAGUUCACUUUCCUCACUCUUAGUUUUGCCAUAUCAUCACCUCUCUUAGUUUAAUAAGCCGAAUUAUUUGACAUAGCCCAAUAAACAAUUCUUCUUUCUUUCUUUGUUUUUUUUUUUUUUUUUAAAGCCCAGUUUCAUAUAUGUUAGCAAUUUUUUUUUUCUUUUGAACAAAGUAUAUGUUAGCAAAUAUGUUAACGUAAAACUGAAAAAAAAUAAUCAAAAAUAUUAAUUAAGCUAAGAAAUAUAUCUUAGGACACAAAAAAAAUGCGUGUGAAUUUUUUUUUUUCUUUCUUUUCUUUCUCUCGAUCUAUCUCUCUCCGAGGAGGACAUCACCGUCCUCAUCGACACCGAUGAAUCCUCUACACAGCCCACUGGCAAGAACAUCCGCCGUGCGCUUAAGGAUCUCAUCGGAAUCGGAUCUGCUGAUAUUGGCAACGUUCUUGUCGUUCAUUACAUCGGACACGGGACGAGGCUGCCCGCUGAGACUGGUGAAGACAAUGAUACUGGCUACGACGAUGAUACUGGCUACGACGAGUGUAUUGUUCCUUGCACGUGAAUUUAGAGGAAAAUCAAGAAGCAACCCAGCACUAAUUUUAUUGAUGGUCAAUGAUUCAAUCUCACUUUCGAUGCUCCAAUCUCUUUCUAUUGAUGAUCUCCGACAAUGAAUCCCCAGAAAAAUUCUUAUUUAGAUGAUAUUGUACUUGUGGACAAAAUUUGCCUCAAGGAUUACAAGUUUGUGCGUGGUGAUGUUGUAGUGUUCAGAUGAUGGAUAUGAUGAUGUGGUAUGGCCUCCCCAAAGAGUUAGCAAGAUUGGUCGAUAAAGCUAAUUG